rnacentral:rRNA from 1 species
GACGAACGCUGGCGGCGUGCUUAACACAUGCAAGUCGAACGGAAAGGCCCUGCUUUUGUGGGGUGCUCGAGUGGCGAACGGGUGAGUAACACGUGAGUAACCUGCCCUUGACUUUGGGAUAACUUCAGGAAACUGGGGCUAAUACCGGAUAGGAGCUCCUGCUGCAUGGUGGGGGUUGGAAAGUUUCGGCGGUUGGGGAUGGACUCGCGGCUUAUCAGCUUGUUGGUGGGGUAGUGGCUUACCAAGGCUUUGACGGGUAGCCGGCCUGAGAGGGUGACCGGCCACAUUGGAACUGAGAUACGGCCCAAGCUCCUACGGGAGGCAGCAGUGGGGAAUAUUGCACAAUGGGCGGAAGCCUGAUGCAGCAACGCCGAGUGCGGGAUGACGGCCUUCGGGUUGUAAAACGCUUUCGCCUGUGACGAAGCGUGAGUGACGGUAAUGGGUAAAGAAGCAGCGGCUAACUACGUG